rnacentral:rRNA from 1 species
UACGUAGGGGGCGAGCGUUGUCCGGAUUCAUUGGGCGUAAAGCGCUUUAAGGCGGUUCGGUAAGUCGGGUGUGAAACCUCCAGGCUCAACCUGGAGACGCCACUCGAUACUGCUGUGACUAGAGUCCGGAAGAGGCGAGUGGAAUCCCUGGUGUAGCGGUGGAAUGCGCAGAUAUCAGGAGGAACACCAAUAGCGAAGGCAGCUCGCUGGGACGGUACUGACGCUAAGGCGCGAAAGCGUGGGGAGCGAACAGG